AUACGGAGGGUGCAAGCGUUAUUCGGAAUCACUGGGCGUAAAGGACGCGUAGGCGGGUUGGCAAGUCAGAUGUGAAAUCCUACAGCUUAACUGUAGAACUGCAUUUGAAACUGCUAACCUAGAGUAUGGGAGGGGGAGAUGGAAUUAGUGGUGUAGCGGUAAAAUCCGUAGAUAUCACUAGGAAUACCGAAAGCGAAGGCGAUCUCCUGGAACAUAACUGACGCUAAGGCGUGAAAGCGUGGGGAGCAAACAGGAUUAGAUACCCUGGUAGUCC
rnacentral:rRNA from 1 species